AAGAUUGGUUUGGGCAUAAAAGAAUAAAAUUAGCAUUCUUUUGGUAAGUUUACUAAACUAUGAAUUUACUUUGAUUUUAUUUAAGGUGCACAUUAUGUAUUGUUUUGGGAAUUUUACUUUGAAUACUUGAUUAUAUUAUGUAUUGUUCUGGGAAUUUUCUGCGUGCAUGAAGUUUUUAUACAAUAUAUAGGGGAGAUGGUGCCUAAUUAUUAAACUAAUUGAUGAUCAUUAUGUUGAUAUGUUGUAAUUGAACAUGUGUCCUGAGAAUUUUAUGCGUGCAAGAAGGUUUUAGUCAAACUUAUAGGUAAGGUUUCGCCCAAAUUUUCAAAAAAUGGGUAGGAGUUGGAUGGCGAAAGAUAGGUUAUCAAAAGAAUAUGAAGAUGGAGUUGAGAGUUUUAUACAAAUAUCCUUGAAAAAUACAGUGGAUCCUAAGUGAGUUCAUUGUCCAUGUCUCAAGUGUUCUAAUUUGAAAAAAUUGGAUGUAUGGUUAUAUGAUAUGGAAAUAAAAAAUUAAUAUGCUCUUCAUAUUGAUGUAUAUAUAGUCUCUUCACACAUUAAGUGAAAGACAGGAAGGAAUGAAAAAAAUUACAAGUGGAAAAUAGUCAAUUGCCCUCGUCAAACAUCGUCAGUAGAGUGUAGCUUUUAUAUCAUAAGGAUGAUGAAGGACUAUUGCUUGAAUGAGACACCCAUGCGAUGGCUAACUAGUAAUUGUGGUGAGAAGAAUACAUAUACACUUGGCGAAAUUGAUGAAACUCAAAAUGAAUGGGCAGCCAAGCUUCUUGAGCGGGAAAUUAUGAAUGAAUAUAGUGUUUGAAAAUAGAUAAAUGAAAAAAAUUCUCAUAUUCUACAUGGGACGUCGGUCUCCAAAAAGUCGUCGUCUUAUGUAUUGCAGGGACGAUGCUUGCACAUAAAUUGUCAUCUCAUGUACUGCAAGAGGACGACGCUUGAGUAAGAACUGCCAUCUCAUUUACUGCAGUGGAUGACGUUUGCAUAGAAACUGUCGCCUCAUGUACCACAAGAGACAACGCUUGUAUAGGAACCAUCGU